CCCGUGCUCGAAGAAUCGCAAACGAAGCUUACACACGGAUCCGUAUGGAUCAUUCCAAGCUUUGGGGAAAGUCCCCGGACACACACGGCGUAAACGCACCGGCAUAGAAGCAUCUCCGGUUUAGCUUGCGUUCAGCAAAUCCGCGUCGUCCUCGGUCAUGAGCUUCCUCGUCCCCUCGGGGAGAAGGCGAAGAUAUGAGUCUUUGGAGUUUGUGGUCAUCAUGGGGGCGGUGUCGGUGAACGUGGGUACAUCUCGUCACAGACGAUAGUUAUGCGAUUGCUCUUCUGUCGCAAGACGGGAGGGUAACUCGAUGGGGCUUAUUCUCGGCGCACGG
rnacentral:RNase_MRP_RNA from 2 species